GAACGCUGGCGGCAGGCCUAACACAUGCAAGUCGAGCGGUAGAGAGAAGCUUGCUUCUCUUGAGAGCGGCGGACGGGUGAGUAAUACCUGGGAAUCUGCCUGAUAGUGGGGGAUAACGUUCGGAAACGGACGCUAAUACCGCAUACGUCCUACGGGAGAAAGCAGGGGAUCUUCGGACCUUGCGCUAUCAGAUGAGCCCAGGUCGGAUUAGCUUGUUGGUGAGGUAACGGCUCACCAAGGCUGCGAUCCGUAACUGGUCUGAGAGGAUGAUCAGUCACACUGGAACUGAGACACGGUCCAGACUCCUACGGGAGGCAGCAGUGGGGAAUAUUGGACAAUGGGGGAAACCCUGAUCCAGCCAUGCCGCGUGUGUGAAGAAGGUCUUCGGAUUGUAAAGCACUUUAAGUUGGGAGGAAGGGCUGAUGCUUAAUACGUAUCAGUCUUGACGUUACCGACAGAAUAAGCACCGGCUAACUCUGUGCCAGCAGCCGCGGUAAUACAGAGGGUGCAAGCGUUAAUCGGAAUUACUGGGCGUAAAGCGCGCGUAGGUGGCUAAGUAAGAUGGGUGUGAAAUCCCCGGGCUCAACCUGGGAACUGCAUCCAUAACUGCUUGGCUAGAGUACGGUAGAGGGUAGUGGAAUUUCCUGUGUAGCGGUGAAAUGCGUAGAUAUAGGAAGGAACACCAGUGGCGAAGGCGACUACCUGGACUGAUACUGACACUGAGGUGCGAAAGCGUGGGGAGCAAACAGGAUUAGAUACCCUGGUAGUCCACGCCGUAAACGAUGUCAACUAGCCGUUGGGAACCUUGAGUUCUUAGUGGCGCAGCUAACGCACUAAGUUGACCGCCUGGGGAGUACGGUCGCAAGAUUAAAACUCAAAUGAAUUGACGGGGGCCCGCACAAGCGGUGGAGCAUGUGGUUUAAUUCGAAGCAACGCGAAGAACCUUACCUGGCCUUGACAUGCUGCAGAGCUUUCCAGAGAUGGAUUGGUGCCUUCGGGAACUCAGACACAGGUGCUGC
rnacentral:rRNA from 1 species